GUGCCCUCUGUGUCCCGUGCCAUGUGUGUGCUCUGUCCCUGAUGUCCUGUGUCCUCUGUGUCCCGUGCCAUGUGUGUCCUGUGUCCCUGGUGUCCUGUGCCCUCUGUGUCCUGUGUCCCGUGCCAUGUGUGUCCUCUGUCCCUGGUGUCCUGUGCCCUCUGUGCCCCGUGCCCCGAGUGUCCAGUGCACUGGGUGUCCCCUUCCUUGUGCGUCCUGUGCCCCAGGAGCCCUCUCUCAAAUUGAGUUUAUCGUUAGAAUAUUGAAACUAAUUUGAUUUCUCUCCUUCCGCACCUCAUCCCAUCUCUGGGCUGCUUUGGUUUGCCGUUGUCAAGCACGGCACAACCUUCUAGAGAUUACUCUGUGUUGCCUUUCAGUGCCUUCAUUAAAAUGCAUCCCUGCCAGGGAGCUCUCUAUCCGUAUUAUACAUAUUAAUAAGGCUGGGUAGCAAUAAUUAAGGGAUGACUAAUAUCUUCGUGAGUGAAAGUAUCCAGCAUGGGCUGGAAUUCAUAGGUAAAUAGGGUAUAUAUGUUAUUAAAAAAAUCUUGAAGGUAAUAAUUAAAAUUCCCUGAGAUAUAAUAAUUUAAAAUAAUAUUUGCUGUCCUUUUACAGUUACAGCAGACAGGACACUUUUCACUGCUGUGCUCCCUUGUAGCAAGAAGCUCAGUUCAGGUGGAGCUGUGGGAGGAGGUGCUGCUGCCCUGGGCGGCUUCAGCUGUCCCUGGGGAUGUGCCUGAGUCCCUGUGGCUGUCCCAAAUCCCAAACCCAGUGACAGGGAGAAGGUCUGUGCUGGACCAGGGGGAGCAGCAGGCAGAGAUGCUCUGCCAGAUCAAAGGCAGCACUCAAGGGCAGCACAGACCCUGCAGAGUCACCACUGCCAGCCCCUGCCCACCCUGCCAGGAACAAUUCCCAAUUCCCAGUAUCCCACCCAGCCCUGCCCCCUGGCAGUGGGAGCCAUUCCCUGUGUGCUGUCCCUCCAUCCUUGUCCCCAGUCCCUCUGCAGCUCUCCUGGAGCCCCUCCAGGCCCUGCCAGGGGCUCUGAGCUCUCCCAGCCCUGCAGCAGCUCCAGGGGCUCCUCUGGACUGAACAAUGCCAUUUAACAAAACCACUGAUCCAGGCGUGUUGUGGGGACAGAUACACCCACAAGAGGCUCCUGAUGGAGCCCACGCAUGAAUUCAGCAGCUGCUGCACCAUUCAGGCUGCUUUGGGGCAUUUUUGGGAGUGGCUGUUGCCCACUUCAGUUCUUCCCUCCUUCCCUGGUGUAGCCAGAGCUCUUUUUCUCCCAACACUUUGAGAAACUUGUGAAGAGCUGAAGAGGAGACAGAGUCACUGUGCAGCUUUACAGAGAUCUUUUGCAUUUCCUGUGGGAUAUGAUGUGAAUUUUUGUGCUCUCUCUGGUGCAGGUGAUAAUGGGAAGGAAGGAGUGGUGACAGAAAUCCCUGUAAAGCAGAAUACAUUUGAAGAAGUCUGAAUUUCAGAGAGUUGGUGGUGGUGCUCAGCUUUCUGGAGGAGGAAUUGCAGAUGCAAACACUUGAAUAUGUGUUUGAAGUGAGACUUGGGCUCCCUGGUGUUUCUGGGCUCCUUUUAAACUUGACCCACAUACCAUUUCCCUGGAUUCAUGAGAUUUUUGAGUUCUCUGUUCUGUGAAUGUAUCAGUGACCCUUGUCCAAUUAUAUUUUCAUGCUUAUUUCAUUUCCCAUAAUUGUUAGGCUUCCAUAGGAGACAUUAUCUCUGAAUCACUGGUGUUGCAUAGCAAUUUCAUUACAUGAGACUUUAAUGUGCAGAUUUUCUAUAAAUACCAUUUGCUGUUAUUUUCUUGGCUUAUGUUGUGGUGGCUUUGGCAGCGCUGGUUUAACAGUUGGGCUUGAUGACCUCAAAGCUCUUUUCCAGCCUGAACGAUUCACUGAUUCUUUAUUAUUUUACAGGUUUUCCAGUAGAUAGAAUCAGUGGUCACAGGCAGAACUUGCUGCAUGUAACAGAAGGGGUUUUCACUCAGGCUUAAAAGAGUAAUUUAAUUUCAUUCUCAUGAAAGUUAAAUGCUGUUUGCUCAGAUUAAAGGAGAAGGAAACAGCCCCCACAUUUCUGAGUGCCUGUUAAUUCCAGAGAGAAGGCGUCAGCCACCAGUUUGUACUGGGAGGCAGCCUGGGAUAAAUAACAAAUCCUCUAAUUAAGAGCCAGCGGAUCCUAAUUGACUUAUGUUAGUCCUCCAGCUGGGCUCAGCCUUCCUCUCCUGUCAUGGCAUGGAGCAUCCUUUGUUUAAGGCACCCUGAGGUAGCAAACCCAGCCCCUGUGAGAGGCUGCAGCCUUGUGAAGUGUUUGAAGUUGUUAUUUUAGGAGCUUAUUUUAGCGACUCCUGAGCUGAGCAUUGAGAAUAUAUAGAGCAGCAUUUAGGGAAAGCGUUCAUGUGGUGGUGGCUUCCUUUACCAUGAGCUGCAGCUCUGCCAGCCAAGCUGAGCUGUGCCAUUUAAGGAACACUGAAGCUUUGAGUGAAGCUUAAACUUAGAAACUUUGCUGGAGUGCACCGGAUGCUGGGGGAAACCAGAACACACUUUUUGGAUUGUCAGACCAAAGGCAGGAGGGUUCCCACAGGGCCCUCCUCCUUGUGGAGCUUCUGUUUCGUAUUUAGAUUUUGUUUUUUAGUGCCCAAAGAGCUUUCAGUUGGGCUCUGACCAUGGUGGUCUGGAAAUUGGGCUAAAUUAAAGCAGGGGUUUUUUGUUUACUUAGAAGUGCUAACAGACUUGGACAGUCCUGGAGCGUUUUUCAGGACUUACAUCAUUCUGAAAUAGAUUUGACUCAAAACAAAUUCGAUAAGAAAGUAAUUCUCACUUGAUGUGUGUGAGAACCUUACUUGUUUGCAUCUACCCCAAAGGAAGAGCUGAGCCUGGGCAGGUGUGCUGAGGGAGAGUCUGGAUUUGAUAUGAACUAUUAAGAAGUUUAUUUAUUUUAAUUACUGGAAGAUCCGAGAGAACACAAGGAGUUAAAUGAAGUAGUUGGAAGAUACAGGAGAAGUUGGGAGCCUGACCCUCAGUAAGUAAAGGCCAUUCCCACUCAGGGUUUUAUCAGAUGCUCCCAUACUGCUCAGCUUCUUAUUUUGGGUGGUUUGAGGUUUUAUGAAUCCCCAGACAGAGAUCCAGGGAUGUCUUCCCAAGCUGUGCCAAAAGAUGAGGGUGAUCCAUUGAGUCAUGGAAGUUUUGUGUACUAUUUGUUCAUCACAGCUGUAUGAGACAGCAGCUGUAUUACAACACCUCUAAAAAAUGAUGUAUUAGCCACAAUCAUUUUCCACAUCAUUUACCAGUGUCACAGUAUUUUUAACUCCAGUUUAGCCUUCCCUGCUUCUCAGCCUGCUGCCACAAAGAGUUGAUAAUCCCAAGAAUAAUCCCAGAAGAACUCCAGUUGUGGAAUCACAGCUGAUUUGGAGAAGACAAACAAUGUGUCCUCUUGCUUCCAUCACCGAGAAAUGUCUCUGAGCAUUAUCUUCUGGUCUCAGCAGAAGAGCAGUGAUGUAAUUAACAGCUUCAUUAAUGCAAGAGUAAUUAUGAACUGCAGGAAUGGCUGUUGCAUCAGGAUUUCUUCUUGUAGAACUGCAGCAGCUUUUUGAUUCUUCAGAACUCAGGAGAAACAUAAAGGGUUGUCCUUUCGAGGCAGACCAGAUCAAGGAGUGGUGCGUGCAGUACCUCAUCCCAGGAUAAAUCCAGGGAGGCUCUAUGACUCAGGAAUGACUCACUGCUCCUCCUCUGUUCCUUCCAGACUCUUGGGGGUGUGCUAAUUUAUUGUCAGUCUGUAUCUGCAGUCAAUUAUUCCCCCCAGCUCAGCUCUCCUGUGCAGAAGGAAUUCAGGCACAUUCUGCUCAUUGCUCACCUCUCCAGAGAGGCAAACAGCAAGACAGAUUGAAGCAUCCCAGUGGAGCUGCAGGGGAAGUGUUUAAACAAUGCCUGCUUAGUGUCCAGCAAGUCCUCACUGGUAGGAAUAUCAGAAAAGAAAAAAAUAACUAAAAUAUAAGAUUUUUACAUAUGCAUGUACAAGAUACAUAAGCCCAGAGAAUCACAUAAGCAUGAAAAAUACUGAGUACAAAUAGGCCUUUUCAGCUCUUCCCAGCCAAAUUUUGUGAGCCUGAGGACACAACAGAUACAGCAGAAAUGCAUAAAAAAUAUUUUUCCAGUGGCAAGGCUGAUUCAAAAAUCCUUUCCCCCAUGUCAUUCAGCUCACCUCCAUCUGAUUUUUGCAACUCCCUCCUCCCAGGUUGUUUUGUGAGACAUUUUUCAGUGGCAGCACUGGCUCAAGAUACAGCGCCUUCACCACUUCCAACUGCUUAUUCCCAACCUUGUGUUAUCCUGGCACGAGGGGCUGGGUGGUAAAUGCUUGUUCUGCACAGACUGGGGCUGAAGUGGUCCUGAACUGGCCUUGUAAAUCAAAGAUAAAUUGAAAACAAAGGUGCAGAAUGGCAAAAUAGCAAUGAAAUAUAAUUUUAGAAUUAGAUAGUUUAAAAUGUAAACAAAUCCCCACAUCCUAAAUUAAUGGAAUUAUAGAAUCCUGGAAUGGUUUGGGCUAGAAGGGACUUUAAUGAUCUUGUCCCAGCCUUCUGCCAAACACUUCUCACUAAAUGUUCUAAUCAGCCAAACCUUCUGAGGCAGUGACAAGCUCUCAGAAACCACACGAUGCUGCAACUUGACAUUAUUAUAUAUUCAAAUAAUUUUAUUAAGCACAGUGUGGGAAGCUUGGCUGUUUUUCAAAAUAUCUGCAUCCAAAAGAAGUCCCUACACCUACAAAAAUAGCAGUUGCAGACAGACUCCAGAUCAGAGUGUUAUUCACAACAUCAGACUUGUGAUCAAUAGCUGGGAGAGUGUUGCCAGAAAUAGUCCUGCCCUGGGAAACGCUUCCUGCUGCCUCAGAACAGGUUGUGCUCCUGUCCUUCUGCACUUUCUCCUGGAUUUUAUCUCCAAGCACACGGAGAAGAAGCAAAGCUGCCUGACUCUGGUGCAGCUGUGUUGUGAAUCAGGCCAGCAGCACCAACAGCCAGCACCCCCUGUGUAUUUCUGACAGGGAUGAAACCCUCAUCCCAUUCCCCCACUUGCACAAGAAUUCACACAGCCUCUUGAUGAACCGGAUGGGAAAUCGAUCCAGCUGGAAAAGCAAAGAUCCACAUCCCCUUUCCAACACAAAAAAGGCUCUCCCAGCCAGAUUGCUGCUCAGUCUGUGCUGUGUGCAGACAGGACAAAGUGCUGAGUUCUGCCUGAAGCAACCCAGCCUGGGAAUGCGACACAGUCUGAGGCUCCACCUGGAAACAAUUUUCCCCCAUCCCUUUUCCCCUCUCUCU